UUGUCUCUUUUUUUAUUUUAGUGUUAGACCGAGUUAAUAAAUUAUUACCUGAACUUGAAAAUAGCAAUGAAGAGUUGAUAAAAAAAUCCGAAGGAAAAAUUAUGGAUAUAGAAGAUUUAGAAGUCAGUAAAACAUAUAUUGAAAAGAAUGUAGCUGUAAUAAAGGGUGUGUCUGACGAGGAUAUGUUGCAAGAAUAGAAAACAAAUUAGUUUAUUAGUAUGUGAAACGUUUUCAAUAAAGGACUUUCAGAAAUUGUA